GCAAAAUUGAGGUGCAUUCUUUUGUAACAUUUGUCUUGUGUAUUAUUAUUUCACAUUAUCUUUUUUAGAAACAGGAAUGGAUGGAAUUAUUUUCUAAAAUUCUCAGUAUUCACAGGCUUUGUUUUUGGCAAAUCUUCGAAAACAUGAUUUGGAGAUUGUAAAAUAACAGUAAAAAAUACUGUUCUCAUCACAUUUUCCAUGCGUAUGAGUUGGCAUGGAGUGGAAUUUGUUUUAAUUAACUGAUUAAUUACAGUGUAGGGAGUUUUACAUUGAUAUUUAAAUGAUUUAAAUGAUACCUGUUGUACCUAAAUAUACCUUUCCCAUCAUCUAUAGUUUUAUUCGUAUAAUCCUAGGUAAUUUCUAGCACUGUAUUUUGCUUGAAAGCUGAGUUUAAAGUGGGAAAAACUUGAUCCUUUGAUGUUAAUACCAAGCUGUCUUUGGCCAAGGCUGUGAAAUUCUGUAACAUUGAUUCAAGAACAUUUGAAAGCCAGUGCACAGAGAUGUCCUAAUCUCCUGAACAUUCUAGUGUCCGGCUCAACUCUGGCUCCAAGAACAGAGUUCUACACAGCUUUUUCCCUGCAUCAAGAAAAUCUUUGUUCCAGUACUUAUCAAGUUUACCCUGGGAACAAUCAGCUUCUGAGUGACAGUCAAGUGGAGCAUCUGUGAACUCCCAGUUAUUCAGGUUUUAGUGUUUUUGUAUGAACAACUUUGUGACUGGUUCAGUCAAUAUUUUUUCUUGUGAAUUAGCAUACAUAUUGGGGAAGAUAUUUGAAUGUUAUUUGCUUAAAAGCAGUAGAUACAAAAAUAAAUACUAGUAUUAGCUUUUCUAAAUAAGUGUGGAUUUGUCAUAUGCUACCAUAAUUCUUUCCAUAAAAAGGUAAUAUGAAACAAUCUUAGACUUCUAACACCACAAUAUUAUGUUUCCUUUUGUAUCAUGAUUUGAAACACUGAGAUUAAAGUCUGUAGGAUUUAGAUUCAUAUGCUAUUAAUAUGUAAUUAAUGUACAUAAAAUAAAGGAACACCCAUUUUCCUAAUUAUUUUGUCAAAAUUUCCCCAUUUUUGUUUGUUUUGAAGACAAAUAAUUUAGGUUUUCUUCUUGACAGAUCUAAUUUUUUUUUUAAAGAUUUUUUAUUUAUUCAUGAGAGACAGGGAGAGAGAGAGAGGGCGAGAAAGAGAGAGAGGCAGAGGGAGAAGCAGGUUCCAUGCAGGGAGCCCGAUGUGGGAUUCGAUCCUGGGACUCCAGGAUUACUACCUGGGCGGAAGGCAGGUGCCAAACCGCUAAGCCACCCAGGGAUCCCCGACAGAUCUAAUUUUUAAAGAACUUUUGUUUCACCCAUUUGUCAUAAAGCCCAAUUUAUUAUUCCUUGAAUUUUUGGAUUUUUCUAUUUAAAAUACUGAGCUUUCAGUGAAAGAGAUGAAAUAUUUGUUUUUAACCCAACAGUAUCAGGAAUAUUAGGGAAAAAAUAACCGUUUUCACCAGAAUUGCCAUUUACUAGAAAUAGAAAUUAUCUAGGACAUUAAUGAAAUAUAUUGGAUCUUGUUUCUCAAGUAUUAAUUGAAAUUACAUCUUUAUGUUUUAUUAAAAAACAUACUUGUUGAAUAUUUCAGUAACUUGGUGUUUAUAUGUAAGGUUUAUAGUAAUUGCAAAGUAUUAGUCUGAAUGAUUAAUGGUCAUUAAUUAAUGUUUGGGGUUUUGUUGAUAAUUACAGCCUAGAUUCUGAAUGAGGAAAAGAUAUAUGUGUGAUUGAAAUAAGUGUGUGAUUGAAAAAAAAAUGUCUUAUGAAUGUGAUGAAAUUAUGUUUAAGCUCUUUUAAGAAAGGUUUGAAAUUUAGUGUCAAAUGGGACUCUCAGAAAUAAAAGGGAUACAUUAUUUUGCAAAAAUAGAGGAAAUUUCCUGGGGAGUACUGGGUAUUUAAAUGUUUUUUGUGUGUUGUUACAUUAUAAUAUCCAAUAACAUGUUAAAAUAUGUUCCUGAAAUAAUAAGAGGGUGGUAAUGAUUUGAAAAAUCAGACUUAACAUUUUCAAAAGUAAGUUAGUGAACACCCACAUAUCUAACUCCUAAAUUAAAUACUUGUAAAUAUUUUCCUGUGCUUACUUCCUACAUAGAUAUUUGUAGACAUGGACUUAUUUGGGGCCAGGGGUGGGGGAAGAGGUGGGAACUACUUCAAAGUAAGGAGCAAGUCCAUCACUGAAAUUGAUGGGUUUGUUUCAUCCUAAACAAAUGAUUAAAUAAAUUGAGAGUAAUUUCGUACUGGACAAGAGUAUUAUUUCCUUUCCUGUACCCUUCAGAGCUAAAUUUUUUAAAAAACAGGAAGCAAUUUUAGUGCGCUCAUUUUACAUAAUUGUUUUUCACUGUUGUGUAAAGUGGAGCCACGCAUAGCUUCCCAGUUGAAUAUGGACAAGUAAUUUAUAGAAUCUCACUCUGGAGAAAUAGUGAAGAAUUUAAUUAUUUUUAUAGUAUCUGAUAUUAAAUUGUUUUAAUAGUAUCUGAUUACAAUCUAUGUAUUAUAUAUUAGCUUUUUUUGGUCAAAACCACUGUCUUCUAAGUACAGAAAAAGCAUCUUGAAAUUUUGUUUUCUUGAUUACUGAAAAACAAUAAUUGAAGUUUGAAUCUUUAUAAGACACAACCAGAAUGCGUUACCUUGGGAAUAUUACUGUACUUCUUGUCUUUUUCCAUAUAACCAUAAUUUAGAUUUUAAAUACCUCCAGGGGUUCCUCUUCGUUUUUUCAUAUAGUUUUCCUUUUCAAUAAAAGAAGCUUAUAUUUUCUAGAUGGAAUAUACUGCAUUAAUCUAGUCAGAGUUUGUAGUACACAUUUUAAAUAAUUAUUUUUCAAGUAUAUUGUCUUAUUGUUUGAAUCACUCACUGUUAUCUUACCAACUCCUCCCCCCUCUGCAACAGUUACUAGAUUUUGUUGACUGUGUUUAUAUAAAAAUCUUGUUAGAAUUACUGUUUCUUUCUGAAUUAAUGAAAUGGAUUUUAAAAGAUGGUAUUCUGCUUAUACAUGUACAUAAAAUUUCAGUUCUAUUUAUAAAAUAUAAUCACCCAAAUUUCAUGUAAGGCACUUCCACCUCAAAGUUAAGACUAAUUAGUGAAGAAUUAAUUAGUGUACUUAGCAGGAAUACAUGAUUUUUAAAUUUUCAACUUAUUUUUUUAAAAAAUAUUGUCAAUAAGUGGUUUUUAUUAAUUAAAAACAAGGUUCCGGCAUUACUUCAAUAGUAAUAUGUGGACUUUACUUGAGUUGUAAUGUAAUGGACCUAGAGUUUCUUAAUGAUCUAUAUAAAUGUGUUCUUGGUAGUGUUGAAGACUUUGGAAUUGGUAUUUGUAUCUAAAAUUUGUUUCUAGCUCUGAAAUGAACAUUUCAGAUAUUUAAGUUAGGAAAUACAUGGAUAUGAGGUAGUGUCAAAACCUAAAGGAGUAGCUACAAUAAUAUGUUUUAUAUUUAUAUCUGUGACUGGAUAUUUUAAGACCUAUUCCCUAUGAGUUAUUUAUAUUUUUAUUUUUGUAUGCUUAUGUGAACAAUUUAUUUUCUGCAAAUUAUUGUUGUAUGCUUUGUCAGAAUAAUUACAGUUAAUUUUUCUUCAGGCUAUUUUCAGAUUAGAUAACAUUAAAUCUGUAUCAAAUGUAACACAUUGCUUAGAUUUAUAAAUGUUGCCUAGUGUUUUUAUGUAAUGAAAAAAGUAAGCGAUCUCACACAUAGUAAUACUCUUUUAAUUUCUCACCUUUUAAAGUGUUGGAGGCAGUAGUAACUUGCUCAGUGGUUACUUAGUCUUUAAUGCUAAUUUUUUAGAAUUGCUUAGAAUAUUUGCAUGUUGAUGGAGUGGGUAGAAUAUUUUUUGGGGGGGAGUAGAAUAUUUUAAACAGUAGGAACUAGCAGUUUAGCAAAGUGAACAUAAAAAUCGGAGUAAUUGUUUGCAAAAUGAUACUUUCUCAGUCAUACAGAAUUUCAUGUAUUCUGAGCCAUGUUAUUCAGAAUUGUACUAUAUCCCUUGUACCAGAAUGUAUUGAGGGGUCCUACUGUUUGCUCUUGUGCCCUUUCCUAAGGCAGAGAUACAGUAGUGGAACAACAAAAUCCCUGCUCAAGAUUAAACACCAGCAGCCAUGAACGUGCAUUCAGAUUGGAGGUUCUCAAACUUCAGUGUGCCUUGAGGCUCCUGGAGGGCUUAUUAAAAUAUCUCUGGGCCCCAUCCCACAACUUCUGAUUUCAGCUGGUCUCAGGUGUGGCUGAGUAAUGUACAUUUCUAACAAGUUCCCUGAUGAUCUGACAUUGGGCUUGGGGACUCCUCUUUGAGAAUUUCUGUUCUAAAAUAUUAAAAGAAUCACAGUAACAUUUUUGGUUGGUUGAUUUUUGGUGGUGGCAUAGGUGAUUGUCCUGGUACAUUAUAUGCUGCUUAGGAUCCCUGGCCAAUCAUUGAAACCAUUCAAAAACUUCCAGCUACUGCCAGUUGAUAAGUACUGCAAAAAGUCCAUUAUUUUUAAGUAGGCACUCUCAUGGCUAUUGAGUACUAAAUCUUUUGCAUAUAUGUAAUUAUUACCUUCAUUUGAACUAGGAUUUCAUUUUUGUGUCACAAGCCUAGUUAUUUCAAGUGAAUAUAGAAAAGUACAAUUUGAAAAUUUUAUAAAACUUUUGCACGUAACUGAUUUGCAACUACUUACACCAGCAUGAGAAAUGAAACAGUGUGAUAAUGUUUCAGUAUCAGUAUAUUUGAAGAUGCUUGGGACACUGGCUGGCUGUAGGACUCUUGCUGGACCUUGGGAUUGUGAGUUUGAGCCCCACGUUGGGUGUUGUGGAUAUUUAAGAAAAAAAAAAA
rnacentral:lncRNA from 1 species